CCAAGUUCAGCCACUGGUGUCCUUCCAGUGGCUUCAGCGUGCUGCUGGCUCAUCCCCAUCAUUCUUGAGCACUGCAUUGCUUUCUAGCCCAGCAGCGUGUUCCAGGUUCAUCUUGUGCUUUUGCCCCCCAACAUCUGGAAUCAGUUGUGUCUCCAAAGUCUCCAGUUCCUCUUAGAGAGGAGUGGCACUUGACCGAGACUCACACAGUCUCACAUGCUCUCCUGGGGACAGAGUGACAGUAAAACUCAAGUCUUCUGAUGGGUAGGACGGUGCCAAUUCCAACACCAACCAUGUCUACAUGGAAAAGCUUUUAUUUGUUUGAUCUUUAUUCUUUCCCUUUUUUCCUCUCUUUUUCUGUACUGAGAAUCGAACCCAGGGAUGCUUUACUAAAUCUCGCAGCCCCUUUUAUUCUGUGAGACAGGGUCUUGCUAGUUGCCCAAGCUACCCUCAAGCUUAUGAUCCUCGCACCUGGGCCUCCUUAGUUGCUGGGAUUGCAGGCGUUCACCACCACACCUGGCUUUUUUUUUUUUUUUUUUCAAUUUUUAGUUGUCACACAAUUACCUUUGUAAUUAAGGCCACUCCUUGAUUAGGAAAAAAUACCUUUUCGUGUUCUAUUUUGAGUUGAUUUGCAGGGUGAGUUGCUUGUCCAGUUAAGUAGGAAACAUAUUUUGCACUAAUGAGACACCUUUACCUCUCUCUCCACAGAGGACAGUUAUGGGACGGAUGGGAAGGUUAAUCUGCCCAGUCUCAUGGCAGCCAUGAGCUGGCAAGGCCCGGAGGAACUAUACAGUGUGAACGAAAACAUCUAUAGGUACAGACUCAACUAUAGACGUAGUCUGGUUGACUGGACUAAUGACUUGAAGGGUAUAGAUGAGUAUUUGCACUGCUGAACAGUCACUCUGAGCAGAAUAAAACAAGUCAGACGAAAACUGCUCAAGGUGAUGGGUUCCUGAUUGUCUCUGCUGAGCUCUCUAUGCCAGUGGAUUCGGCCUCUGCAGAGUCAGAUGAAGGCCCAAGUCGCACAGUUAGGGAAGAACCUCGUUUGACCUUGCCAGCCAAACCUUCAGACCCUGCAUUUGAACCAACCAACAUUAAGUCUAGAGAGUAAACUUGAACGGAAUAAUGACAUUCCAGAAGUGAAUUGUUUAAAUUCUGAACACUGGAGAAAUGGUAAAACUGAAAAAUGGAUGGGGCAUGAAGAGGUCACUCCUUUCUGAAAGUGAUUUCAGUAGCAAUGGUGUGACAGAGUUGGUGCACCAGCCCUACCCGCAGGCUGCAGCCCAUAUCAGCAGGCAUCAGAAAGAACUUCCCCAGGAUGCUGGUCCAGGAGAAGAAGUUUUUGAAGAUCAGUUUUAUCUUCCUGUGCAUUCUGUGGAGCCUCUGUUCAUCAGACCUUCAACAUGUCCAUCAUGGACCAGUCUAUUCAUUCCAGCAGAGCAGAGAGGAUGGAGAAGAAUGACACAAAGGAGAGCUUACAAUCUAGAAGGCAGUGCCUGCUUUCCACUCUCCUGAUUAGAUGAAACUAUUACCUUAUCCUAAAUGCAGUAUUUUUUUUUUAACUUUUUAUUAGUAAACUAAUAAGGGCAAUCAUAGCUACCAACAUUCCAAGCAGCCCUGGGUACCUUUGUGCAGGAAGAGUUAGUGUGCAAGUGUUGUGCACACAGGGACUCAUCAGAAUUCAUUAUUUGCCAAGAAUAGAAAGAAAGGUUGGGUUUUUUUUCUGUUUGGUUUUCGUUUUGGUACUAAGCCAGUAUUAUCUUUUGAGCAUUAUAGGGACAUGCAUAUGUAAAUGUUACCCAGUCAAAAUGGCUAAAACUGUGCCUUUCCAAGCUUCUAAAACCAACACCCUUGGCGACAUUGUGUUGCCAGCAUAAGGAAGUUUUGAUUCAUUUUGAGCCACUGGAAUUUUUCAGUGCCAUCAUUGUGGAUUCAAUUAUCUUGCACUUUGAGAUUGGAAUGCCAUGUGUAUUUGGUGCAUUUAAUUUGUUUUACAGAUGUAUCACAGACACCCUGUUUGCUCUCAGUGUGACACAGUCAAAUAGAUCCCCCAGGAUGACACACAGUAUGGAUCACAUAUUGUUUAACAUGCUUUUGCCAGAAAAUAUUGCAUGUGUUUUACCUCGACUUGCUAAAAUUGAUUAGCAGAAAGACGUGGCUAAUAAUGUUGGUGGUAAAAAUAAACAAAUAAAUAAAUAAAUAACCAAGAUUGCCUGCUCUGUCUGCAUCUGGCUCAAGCUGUCCACUGUAUACUUAAUAAGGUUGCUAAAUUGUGGUUAUUUCCUUGACAGGAAAAAAAAGGACUAAAGACCUUUUAUUUCCAUCUGCAUUUUGUUUUCUUGGCCUGGUUAAUAAGCUUAAGCAUUUGAAAAAUUAUGUGUAGUUUUGAACUUAUGUAACGAAUUUUCUCCAAUAAACAAAAAUCAUCAAUGUCUCAUAAUUUAAACAGACCAUAAGGGAGGUUAACUUUAUAACAUUGUGUUAUAUAACUUUUUAAGACCAUCGCCAAGUUCUGGUUUUGUUUAAGGAUAUAGUUCAAAAUUGCUUCUGAAGAACUCUGUAUUCUUGCAAAUAUUCUUGUUUCGUAUUAGAUUUUUAAAUUCCAGCAAAAGGAUUACCUCAUCGGAGUCAUCAGAGCCCAUUCAACUUCCCAAGAAGGUUUUGUUUGUUUGUUUGUUUAGCUUAACAGUGAUUUUCUUUUUAUUUUUAGAUAAUUCAAGCAUUUAGGUAAAUUAUGUUUCUUUUAAGUGUUCAAGGUAAACUCUUUAAAAAAUUUAACAUGUUAUAGUUGAAUCUUUGGUAACUUCAAGUCUUAAUCAUAGACUCUGUAUAUAUGUUAAAAUUAACUAGCUGUUUAUCAGAUGUGUGUCAUUGGCCGAAUGACAGAAUAAACAUAUUUAUGGUCAUGAAUGAUGUGCUUUGUAAAAAAGAUUCCAAGAUAUUAGGAAGUAUACUGUGUUUUUUAAAAUCCUCUAUAAUACUCUGUGAUACUUUUAUAGAACAAUUCUGGCUUCAGGAAAGUCUAGAAGCAAUAUUCUUGAAAUAAAAGGUGUUUGAACUUUAUCUGUUUCAGAGAAAUGAA
rnacentral:lncRNA from 1 species